rnacentral:rRNA from 1 species
UACGUAGGGGCAAGCGUUGUCCGGAUUUAUUGGGCGUAAAGAGCGUGUAGGCGGUUUGGUAGGUCCGUUGUGAAAACUCGAGGCUCAACCUCGAGACGCCGAUGGAAACCAUCAGACUAGAGUCCGGAAGAGGAGAGUGGAAUUCCUGGUGUAGCGGUGAAAUGCGCAGAUAUCAGGAAGAACACCCGUGGCUAAGGCGGCUCUCUAGUACGGUACUGACGCUGAGACGCGAAAGCGUGGGGAGCGAACAGG